rnacentral:rRNA from 1 species
UGGGGAAUAUUGCACAAUGGGCGCAAGCCUGAUGCAGCCAUGCCGCGUGUAUGAAGAAGGCCUUCGGGUUGUAAAGUACUUUCAGUCGGGAGGAAGGUGGUAAGGUUAAUAACCUUAUCAAUUGACGUUACCGACAGAAGAAGCACCGGCUAACUCCGUGCCAGCAGCCGCGGUAAUACGGAGGGUGCAAGCGUUAAUCGGAAUUACUCGGCGUAAAGCGCACGCAGGCGGUUGAUUGAGUCAGAUGUGAAAUCCCCGGGCUUAACCCGGGAAUUGCAUCUGAUACUGGUCAGCUAGAGUCUUGUAGAGGGGGGUAGAAUUCCAUGUGUAGCGGUGAAAUGCGUAGAGAUGUGGAGGAAUACCGGUGGCGAAGGCGGCCCCCUGGACAAAGACUGACGCUCAGGUGCGAAAGCGUGGGGAGCAAACAGG